GGAGCUGUAGCUCAGUGGUAGAGUGUGUGCUUAGCAUGCACACGGUCCUGGGUUCAAUCCCCAGUACUUCCA
rnacentral:tRNA from 1 species